CUGCAAAUUAUAUUAAUACUAAGCAAAUUGAUGAUUUAAAUGAUGUUAUGUGUGAAAGAAUUGUUGGAAGGAAUCUCUGCCACGAAUGGUAUGAUACAGAUUCAACAAUGGCGAUCUUGUAUAAUGGCAGAGUUGAAAAACUUAAAAAGACAACGAAAGGCAUUUUUUAAACAAUUUCUUACUGGGCUCGAGAUGAAACUUAUACAGAAGCUGUCGGCCGUAGCAUGAAAAAAUUCCAUCUGGUUGCUGAUGUUGUAUCAGGCGAGUUAGUAUUUUCGUAAUUUCUUAUGCUAUUUUAAUGUGGAACUUGUAAAAUUAAUAUACAGCAAGAAUUAGAACUUGCAAAAUAAAGGUUAAACAAGUAGUGGAAUUUUUGUUGUAAAUGUACUGCUAAUAGUGGAACUUGUGAUAUAAAUUUACAGGAAGUAGUGGAACUUGCAAAAUAUAUGUACAGCAAGUAGUGGAACUUGCAACAUAAAUGUACAGCAAGUAGUGGAACUUGCAACAUAAACAUACAGCGAGUAGUGGAAUUUGCAAAAUAAAUGUACGGCAAGUAGUGGAACAUGCAACAUAAACGUACAGCGAGUAGUGGAACUUGCAAUAUAUAAGUACAGCAAGUUGUGGAACUUGCAACAUAAAUCUACAGCAAGUAGUGGAACUUGCAAAAUAUAUGUACAGCAAGUCGUGGAAUUUGCAACAUAAAUAUACAGCGAGUAGUGGAACUUGCAAAAUAUAUGUACAGCAAGUAGUGGAACUUGCAACAUGAAUCUACAGCGAGUAGUGGGACUUUCAAAAUAUACGUACAGCAAAUAGUGGAACUUGCAACAUAAAUGUAAAGAAUUUUGCAGAUAGUGAAACUUGCAAAAUUUAUGUGCAGCAAGUAGUGGAACUUGCAAUUUUUUUUGAUAGACGGUUUUUGACUUACGUUCACGUUGUGUCUAUGGUUAACAAUGAUUAUUAUAUAGUUUCAUUUCUGGAAACUUAUCUUAAUCAUUAACUAAAAUCCAAAACACAUAAUUGUUGUUUGGAAUCAUAUAUAAAUGAAUAAAAAAAUUUUUAGGUCGGAGUGGGGAUUUGACAUCUUCCUCAGCAAAUAUGAAGACUGAUGCAUCUUGUAAUACUACUACUCAAAUAAGGUCAGAGGGGGUAACCGCUACUCCCUUCUUCAAAAAUAAAUACUCUGAUGCAUCUUGUAAUACUAUUACUGUAAUAUGGCCAGAGGGGGAGGGAUACGCCUUUUUCUCGUGUCUUUGUGUACACCACUACUUUUUGUUUUAAAGAUGUAAAAA